UACGUAGGGUGCAAGCGUUGUCCGGAAUUAUUGGGCGUAAAGAGCUCGUAGGCGGUCUGUCGCGUCUGCUGUGAAAACUCAGGGCUUAACCCUGAGCUUGCAGUGGGUACGGGCAGACUAGAGUGCGGUAGGGGAGACUGGAAUUCCUGGUGUAGCGGUGAAAUGCGCAGAUAUCAGGAGGAACACCGGUGGCGAAGGCGGCGUUCUGGACUGCAACUGACACUGAGGAACGAAAGCCAGGGGAGCAAACGGG
rnacentral:rRNA from 1 species